rnacentral:rRNA from 1 species
UAGGUGGCGCGUUAAGUCAGUUGUGAAAUCCCCGGGCUCAACCCGGGAAUAGCUUCUGAUACUGGCGUGCUUGAGGCCGGUAGAGGUUACUGGAACGGACGGUGGAGCGGUGAAAUGCGUAGAUAUCGUCUGGAACGCCAGUGGUGAAGACGGGUAACUAGACCGGAUCUGACACUGAGGCACGAAAGCGUGGGGAGCGAACGGGAUUAGAUACCCCCGGUAGUCCACGCCCUAAACAAUGCAGACUAGAUUGCAGCGGGUCUGACCCCGUUGCGGUCGGAGAAAAAUUGUUAAGUCUGCCACCUGGGAAGUACGGUCGCAAGGCUAAAACUCAAAGGAAUUGACGGGGGCUCACACAAGCGGUGGAGCAUGUGGCUCAAUUCGAAGCAACGCGAAGAACCUUAUCCUGGGCUUGACAUGUUGGAAGUAGAACAUAGAAAUAUGAACGACCGGUAUCCAAUCCGGAACCAACACAGGUGCUGCAUGGCUGUCGUCAGCUCGUGCUGUGAAGUGUCGGGUUAAGUCCC